GCACCCGUAGCUCAGUGGAUAGAGCACCGGACUUCUAAUCCGAUGGCCGCAGGUUCGAAUCCUGCCGGGUGCG
rfam:Nocardiopsis flavescens strain CGMCC 4.5723 genome assembly, contig: Ga0104439_105